GUUGACGGUGGUGGAGGAAGACAUGGUACUGGCAUGAAGGAGAAGAAAGUGAGAGUUGAAAUUGAAAUGAGAAAUUGGUUUCGUGAAACAAGUUAACAGCAUAAUAUAAAUUGGUUUUAUAUAUUUUGUUUACAACACAGUCAUUAAAUUGAAUCAGUCACAAGUUCGUACUCGUACAUAAAGAAGAAGAAAAAUAAAAC
rnacentral:lncRNA from 1 species